rnacentral:lncRNA from 1 species
AAUGAGUUGCUUAAUGUUUUCUUAUAAACUUACUAUGAUCUAUAUGUGUGAAAGUCGAAUAUAUAUAUAUUAUAUUUUUGAAGUAAUGCUUGAAUAGUCGAAUAAUGACUAGUUUAAAAUUGUUGAAUUUAAGCUCAACAGCAAAGAGGGUCGAAGUUGGAUAGGGGAAAGGAGAAAGUAAUUGAGUAGUCUUUCCACAACCGUUCAAGUAUAUCCGAGGUAAGUUUUGAAUAGUCACAUUUAGUACGUAAUUGAUAAUGUCUUGAUAUGUGUAUGAUAAUUGUAUUGCAAUCUAUUGAUUCUAUUUGAAUAUAUUUGAGUGACAAAUAAUUUAUGUUUAAGGCUUAAAGCCAAAUAGACAUUAGAAGUUAAGCUUGGAAAGUAAAAUGGACAUAUAUUUUUAUGUAUGUUAUUAAGCCAAAAGUUAUAUGAAUGGUGCCCUUGUUAUGUUAUUAUUCGAAUGAAAUAAAUGAACUAUGAUUGUGAGAUGCUAUGUGGAUUGAAUUUUCUUGCGAAUAAGUAUGCAUGACAUUCAGUGAUGUAUAUCCGGACUUAAGGUCCGCAGGCUAUGUGCUGGAAUUAUAUCCGGACCUAAGGUCCACAGGCUAUGUGCUAGAAUUAUAACCGGACUUAAGGUCUGUAGGCUACGUGCUGGAAAUAUGUCCGGGAUAAAGUCCCACAGGCUUCGAGCUGGUAUUAUACCGUGUUUAAAUUCCCGUAGGCUUGUGCUGGUAAUUGGUUUCAAGUUCUAAGACCUGACAGGCUUAAUUCUAGUAAAUUAAGUAAGAUUACGAUAUUGAAUGUUCGCAGUAAACCAUCAUUGAGUAAGUACUAUACAUUUAAGAUGUUCAGGUACGUAUUACUUACACAUCGGUGAUUUGAUUUCGAAGUGAAUCAUUAGCAUCAAAGAUGAAUAUAUAUAUAUAAAUGUGAUUGAUGGUUAUAUUUGCGAAUAUGAGAAUGAUUUAAUCGGUCAUGAUAUAUUUGUAUAUGAAUUAUAUGUUAAAAUUACUUUAUGUACUCAUUUACAUUCAGUCAAUGAUUUUGUGAAUUAUUAGUAUUAAAGAAUGAUACUUAAGUGUGAAUGAUUGUUAUAUCUACGAGUAAAACAAUGACCUAUUCGGUCAAAUGUUGUUAAUAGAUGAGAUUAUUUGAUUUAAAUGCAUCGUAUGAACUUUAAGUAAAAGAAAAAUAUGUGCUGAGAAUCUAUGUUUAUGUUUAUGUGUAUUCGGCAAUGAAGCAAUUUGAAUUGAGAAUAAGUCUGUUUAAAUGAAUGUUUCAAUUUUCGAUAAGUCUUAAUUGUUUGUGAUAAAUGAAUGUUUCAAUUUUCGGUAAGUCUUAAUUGUUUGUGAUGCUUAAAACUUACUAAGCUUUGAAAGCUUACUCUGUUCUUUAUUUCUCUGUUUUAUAGAUUGUUGAUUUUGGCCAUCGACUCGGGGAUCGUCAGCAGUUCAUCACACUAUCGAUCUUUUUGGGUACAGUAAUAUUUUGGACUCGAUAUGGCAUGUAUAGGUUAGGCUGAUGAUAACGAUCUUUUGAAAUUGUAAAUAUUUU